rnacentral:lncRNA from 1 species
GACAACCUCAAAUAUAUUAAGGAGUAGUUCAUGCAACUAGUUAUGACCACAAAGACAGGGGAACAGAUGAUCCAACACGGAUGGAGCAGAGGACCCUCCGAGUGCGCCCACAAGAGAAAUCAAGCCCAAAGAGCCAAAGGAACAAGGGUUGUGAAGACCUUACAUGGGUUCCCUGCCUCCAAAUGGGUGCCCAGAGGCCCGUGGGCUGAACAGCAAAGGCCAAGUGGACCCCCCAGCCACACUGAGUCGAUACAACACAUACACCGAAGAGGACAUCCUGAACGUGUGUGGCAGGUUGGAUGCAUCAUGGCACAAAAACCAGAAUGCCACACUUCUGGCCCCCCGUCAGCCCAUGGAUGACAGCAGACUUCUAGAGAGGCAGCUGCAAAGAGCCUGAGAAUAGAACUGGAAAUGCCUGUUGUGAAAGCCCUCACAGGUAUUAACAAAAGAAAAUGCGUCUUUAUCAGCGGUGUGUCAGCUAAGCUUCUGGAGGGCCACCCUAAGCCUUGUGUGGGCCAUCAGUCAUCGCUGCAACUCCCCAGGUCAGCCAGGCCACACCCAGGACGAGGAGUGGCUUUCCCUUCUAAAGAGGCCCCAUCAAAAAUUCUAUGAAAAAGAACCAUUCCGCCACUUUUCUAGGCAAACUAAAGGGAUUUUUUUUUCCUAAUUAAAGCACAUGGUCUGUAGAGAAAAGUAAGACUAAGAAUCAAUCUUUUCAAUGAGAUUGGUAGAGUCAUGUGAACGUGACCGGAAAUGUAUGCUUUUCAAAAUGUGGAGAUAUUAUCUGGGCUCUAAACCCCAUGUUUUUCCACGAUCCCCUAUUUGUAUGCUGCAGGGAACCGGCUGGCAACUUUACGGGAGAAGUGCAGCAAUACUGCGGCACAGUUCGAUGUUUACACUGUACGCCAUCAGUUUUAAUUUAUCUUAUAAAGUACUGAUUAUUCAAUCACACAUCUUCAGGAAAGCGCAAAAUCAUUCCUGAAAAGUGCAGCCCCUGGGGUGUGAAGGUUCUAAAGCCCAGCAAGGCUUCAUCUGUGAUUUGGGAUGGAUCUCAGGACCUAGAAACAAGGUUAACUUGCUACAUCCCAGUAGUGACUAAAAUCAAGACGUCUGUUGGGUGCCAUCUCAAUUUCUGGUAAAUUUCCUAGAAGAAACUGGGCAAUGAAGACCUGAGUUCUGGGCAUGCUUUUCCCACUUGUUAUUAAGUUGAUCCUAUGAACUGGCUGAUAAUUGGCCAUUUUUUAACCAACAAAUUGGGCAAAUUCAUGGGUGAGCCAAUCGGAGGAACCCUGCUGCCUCAGCUCUGUGAAGGGAGGAUAAGAAAUCUCACCUUCCCUGACUCACAGCCUCAUGCCAAUGGUCAUCAACACAUGGGAAAGGGCUUUGGAAACCAUAAAGGGCAACUGUGCAAACAAAUGUUGUUAGACAUACCACCAGCCUGUGGGGUGACCAAAGCCAAACACAGGAGGAGCACAAGACCAAAAGUCUCGGAGACACUGAGAUGGUCGGGGCGGUGGUGGAGAAGAGGAAAUAUCCAAAAUAAUCUCAAAGUGUAAACAGAAAACAAGAGCGGGCUGACGAAAACAGACGUGAAGAGGAAGACAUGUGGUUAAAUGACUCCAAGCGUGUUCAUCUACAAAUGAAUAUACUGCAAAUUCCAUAAGCCUAACAGGGAAAUUAGGGAGAUAUGAUAUAUACAGGAGCAAACUUUAAGGACACGGAGUUUAAAACACAAAUGCAAGAUCGAUGUCAAAUGAAUGAUCCAAGAUGCUGGCCCUAUCCCUUGUGAUCAGUAUAGGUGUCGGCAACAGGUGCCUGUCACACACAGGUAGGCCUCCAAUCUUCCUCCGAAAUUAGAUGCAAACUUCAAACAGUCUGAAAAUACUCCCUAAGGGAACUUUUACCCCAAAUUUAGAGACUGAAUGAAAAACCAUGCUUUAAAAAAAAAAAAAAAAGACCAAAAAAACUCCCCUAAAACCAAAAAAACACAACCAUCUUCUCAUCUUCAUAUUUAUUGUCAUCUGGAAAGCAGAUUUCCCAUUAAAUGGAUGGUCAAGGCCACACCACGAUGUUAAAUUAAUUAUGAAAAUCCAAGACUGGCAUUCCACAGCCUCCUGAGGUACAUUCAUAGAGGCAGGGAAUAACCACAGGAAGAAGUUCACUGGAGGUGCUCUACUCGGUACUGGCCCCUAGACACCUGGGGAGAAACCAGAAGGUUCAGAAAAAGUAAGAAAAGAACAUCUUUCUUUUUGGUUAAAGAAGGCCCUGUGCAAGGUGCCUGGUUCCAGCUGAGUCUUAAGUAGUCUACAUGGUGCCGUGCAUUCUGGGAUCACCUCUUAAUGAAAUGAAUCUUGACUCUAGGCCAUUCUGAGAAGUACCAAUGCCUCUUUGGGCCAAAUGCAAUGUCCUCACCGCCAGCUUCAUGUUUCACAGCAGACCGUGUUCCCUUACAGAAAUUUCCCUAGGAGGUUUACUAACCUAUAGUGUUUCAAGUUGGACUCUCUUCUUGCCUAAGAGCCAUAAGCUAUCUCUUAUUAAGGACACAUUACAUACAUGUUAGUUAACGAUUCGUUUAUUUAUUCAGCAAAGGUUAUUAAAAACUUACCGAGUUUGGAUGUAUGUUGCUUAAGAGAGGUAAUUUUCAAGGCUGCUUUAUGUAAAGUGGGAAUAAUCAAUUUGACAAACUUUUUUUUUAAAGUAAGCUCUACGCCCAACAUAGAGCUUGAACACACAACCCCAAGAUCAAGUGUCAAAUACUCUACUCACUGGGCCAGCCAGGUGCCCCUUGACUGGGUAAACUCAAUAAAGUCUUCAAGAGAGUAAGCCCUGAGUUUAAACUGUCACUGACUUUUAAGAAUAACUAGAGAAUCUGAGACCUACGGAGGUGGGAACACUUCCCAGCUGUCAGUAGCUUUCAAGGAAGUGUUUCCGUGUCACCCCAAAUGGUCAGUUUCACACAGUUUAUCAAUUAGAGGUUCACAAGAUCAAAAAACAGUUCUUUAAAGAUGUUUAUGGGAACAUAGGGCCAAUGAGGUAACACCUCCAUGGUGGACAUCGGGGUCGGGGAUUCAGACUCGUGUCCCACCAGCAGAGCUCCGGUCGUAUCGCUCAAGUGGAAGGUCAUAACCAGCUGUGUUUCUGCCAUCCUCUCUCGUGAAGAAGCUCAGCGGCAGACCACCAUUAUUCCAUGAGGAAAGAAAAUCCCACAAGUAUUUUUAAAGCUCCAUUUCCGCCUCUUCUCCUUUCAGGGACACAAAGGUCAUCAUCCAUCCUUCUGUGGCUAGGUUAUCCUCUAAAGCCUUUCAUUGGGGUCGAGGCGUCAAACUUACAGCUUAAGAGGACUGUGACUUAGCCUUCUCCUAACAUUUGCUUUUUAACCUUUUGCUCCUUAACAAUCUCUAAGCAGAUGCCAGGGACGCCCCGAUGAGUGAGGCAGGGUCCCUGCCUCUGGGGACUUCGCUGUUAGAGAGAAGGGAUGGGGAACUGGUUGGACACAGAACAAACCAACAACUACAGUUGACUGGAGAACACGCUGUCAUGGACACGUGCCCAAGGGCAGCUCCAAAAGACGGAGGGAGAGGGAGGAGGGGUGACAGAGAAGGAGGCUGUUGACUUAGGUUUAUGUUCAGUAUAAAUCAUAUUCUGUAGAGCAGAAGGCGACUUUAUCUGAUCUGUUUAACCUCUUAGCACCUAGAAGCCAUAAAGAGAAGUGCCCAUGGAGAGUUCAAUGUUGGUGAGCUCCUGGGACAUGGAAGCUGGAAAUCAAGACUCGUUUAUGGGCACUUCCAUUCACGUGCUUGCCUAGCUGAACAUGACAACGCUGGUCUUUCCCACACGUGAAGGAAAUGCUGAUUUAUUUAGCAAGUACCUCUGGCACCACCUACUAUGUAUAUGCCCACCUGUCAGCUACGUGCUAUGGGAACUAAGACAACACAAGACACAUAGGUUUUGCUUUCAAAGGGCUUACAAUUUUAAUUGUAGAAUUAAGACUAAAAUGGACAAUGUUGCUGAACCACUGUAUUAUGCCUGUAACUGUAGGUAACACCGUAUGUUAACUAAUUGGAAUUAAAAUAAAACGUAGAAAGACUGAAAUACAUGGGGAGACAAA